AUUGAACGCUGGCGGCAGGCUUAACACAUGCAAGUCGAGCGGGGGAGGUUGCUUCGGUAACUGACCUAGCGGCGGACGGGUGAGUAAUGCUUAGGAAUCUGCCUAUUAGUGGGGGACAACAUUCCGAAAGAAAUGCUAAUACCGCAUACGCCCUACGGGGGAAAGCAGGGGAUCUUCGGACCUUGCGCUAGUAGAUGAGCCUAGGCCGGAUUAGCUAGUUGGUGGGGUAAAGGCCUACCAAGGCGACGAUCUGUAGCGGGUCUGAGAGGAUGAUCCGCCACACUGGGACUGAGACACGGCCCAGACUCCUACGGGAGGCAGCAGUGGGGAAUAUUGGACAAUGGGCGGAAGCCUGAUCCAGCCAUGCCGCGUGUGUGAAGAAGGCCUUUUGGUUAUAAAGCACUUUAAGCGAGGAGGAGGCUCUUAAGGUUAAUACCCUUGAUGAGUGGACGUUACUCGCAGAAUAAGCACCGGCUAACUCUGUGCCAGCCGCCGCGGUAAGAC
rnacentral:rRNA from 1 species